GACGAACGCUGGCGGCGUGCUUAACACAUGCAAGUCGAACGGAAAGGCCCUGCUUGCAGGGUACUCGAGUGGCGAACGGGUGAGUAACACGUGGGUGAUCUGCCCUGCACGUCGGGAUAAGCCUGGGAAACUGGGUCUAAUACCGGAUAGGAGCCAUUUUUAGUGUGAUGGUUGGAAAGUUUUUUCGGUGUAGGAUGAGCUCGCGGCCUAUCAGCUUGUUGGUGGGGUAAUGGCCUACCAAGGCGGCGACGGGUAGCCGGCCUGAGAGGGUGGACGGCCACAUUGGGACUGAGAUACGGCCCAGACUCCUACGGGAGGCAGCAGUGGGGAAUAUUGCACAAUGGGCGCUAGCCUGAUGCAGCGACGCCGCGUGGGGGAUGACGGUCUUCGGGUUGUAAACUCCUUUCGCUAGGGACGAAGCUUUUUGUGACGGUACCUAGAGAAGAAGCACCGGCUAACUACGUG
rnacentral:rRNA from 1 species